CUGCGAAUGGCUCAUUAAAUCAGUUAUCGUCUAUUUGAUAGUACCUUACUACUUGGAUAACCGUGGUAAUUCUAGAGCUAAUACAUGCUGAAAACCCCGACUUCGGAAGGGAUGUAUUUAUUAGAUUCAAAGCCAAUGCCCUCCGGGGCUCCCUGGUGAUUCAUGAUAACUUCUCGAAUCGCAUGGCCUUGCGCCGGCGAUGGUUCAUUCAAAUUUCUGCCCUAUCAACUUUCGACGGCUGGGUCUUGGCCAGCCAUGGUGACAACGGGUAACGGAGGGUUAGGGCUCGACCCCGGAGAAGGAGCCUGAGAAACGGCUACUACAUCUAAGGAAGGCAGCAGGCGCGCAAAUUACCCAAUCCCGACGCGGGGAGGUAGUGACAAUAAAUACUGAUACAGGGCUCUUUUGGGUCUUGUAAUUGGAAUGAGUACAGUUUAAUUCCCUUAACGAGGAACAAUUGGAGGGCAAGUCUGGUGCCAGCAGCCGCGGUAAUUCCAGCUCCAAUAGCGUAUAUUAAAGUUGUUGCAGUUAAAAAGCUCGUAGUUGAACCUUGGGCCUGGCCGGCCGGUCCGCCUCACCGCGUGCACUGGCGCGGCCGGGCCUUUCCCUCUGGGGAGCCGCAUGCCCUUCACUGGGCGUGUCGGGGAACCAGGACGUUUACUUUGAAAAAAUUAGAGUGUUCAAAGCAGGCUUAUGCUCGGAUACAUUAGCAUGGAAUAAUGGAAUAGGACGUGCGGUUCUAUUUUGUUGGUUUCUAGGACCGCCGUAAUGAUUAAUAGGGACAGUCGGGGGCAUCAGUAUUCAAUUGUCAGAGGUGAAAUUCUUGGAUUUAUUGAAGACUAACUACUGCGAAAGCAUUUGCCAAGGAUGUUUUCAUUAAUCAGGAACGAAAGUUAGGGGAUCGAAGACGAUCAGAUACCGUCGUAGUCUUAACCAUAAACUAUGCCGACUAGGGAUCGGACGCUGUUGUCUUUUGACGCGUUCGGCACCUUACACGAAAGUACAA
rnacentral:rRNA from 2 species